GGACGGGGUGGCGGGAGCGGUGGUGUUGCUGUGUGAAGUGCAGGGGUGAGGGGACGCGCUGCAGCUGCCGUGGAGCCCAAGGGGCCGUGGUGUGAAGCAGCUUCCCAUUCACUGUCCCUGCUCGCUGCGCGGCACGCUUGGAGCUUCCCAGGACGUUUUUUUGUCAGUUUGUUUGUUUCCACUUGAAGUUCACCUGAAAAUUACACUCGUUAGGCUACCAGGCGUUAGCAGCUGAUCCAGCCAGCCCUGCUAGCUGCGCCGGGUUGCAGCCUGAUGCCGAGCUCUCAGCAACACCUCGGUCACACACGCAUCGCUGCGUGCUGACACAGCCCUCGCCUUCCUGUCCCUCAGCUCAGCUCCUGACACGGCUGCUUUAAUUAAUUCCCUCCCGCUCACUCGCAGCACCCAGCAGUUGCACGAGGAGCUGUUUGCCACAGUCUCGGUGGAAUAGAUUGCUCCAAGUCAUUGGCAUAUCUUUCUAAUUGCUCGUAAACAUAAAGGGAAGUUAGAAUCGUAAAUGCCACAUGCAGUGCCGCAAACGAAUGUCUGCUAUGGGCACAGCUACGAUUCGCUGACACCUCGAUUCCCUCCCUUGAGAAUGAGUGCUAAAAUACGUUUGCACUGUGCGGCGUGAGGACACCCAAGCCAGCACGGUCUCCAGAUCAAUACAACUGCAUUAGUGAGGCACAUGGCUCUGAUAAUUCAUCCUGCAGAAGAAAGCUGUGCUGGUGAGGCCCUGCUGCUUCUGGGAUUAGUAGUUCCCUCAGAACUAUUUCAAGAAGACGUCCAACAUGGCGCUGUGUUUUUGGAUGGAUCAGCAUUUUUGAUUGAUCGGGGUCUUCUUCAUAUCAGUCCUUGUAGGAAGUAGUUCCAGAGCCACAGUGAGGGCUUAUUCCAUUUAGCUGGAGAGGACAUUCUGAGGAGGACUAGGCCAGUAUCUUUUGUAAAGCUCGCUAUGAAGAGAACACGACUUACCUUUCUGUGAGACACGAGCAGAACAGACUGCCAGCCGUGGUUCUUGCUGUGAGCUGAGGAGUUCGGUGCUUGGGGCAUCUGCCACGAAGGAGAAGUAAAACAGGUCCGCUCUUUCAGAAGACAGAAUGAGGUCUGCUUUACUAGAAAUCAAGGCUGCCUUCCUGCUUCUAACUGAAAUGCCUGUAUGGGGAUCUUAAGAUUUAGCACAUCGGAAAAGCAGUGGGCUAAGAUAUUUUUGUAGGUAGUAACUAACUACCAUCUCCCUCAAAUCUCACUUUAGAGAAAGUCUGCAAGGGUGGAUCAUUAACAGAACCUGUGAAGAACGCAUGCAUAUUUGUCAGCAGACAAAAAGUAGCUGCAUCUCCAAGAAAUACUGAAGAUUUGUAUGGCAUAGGAAUCACUUCAUUAUGAGCAGAAGCAAGUCUUGAAUAUGAGUAAUGGAGUACAGAUAGGCAACAGGACCUUCAGAAAAAGUACACAAGAGCAGAAGCUUAGGCAAACACAUUUGUACAGUGAACAGAUUCAUGGCACCUACAAAAUGUCAGAAAAAGCGACUAACAAGAUGGUAAUGCAACACCUACAGACAGCCCAUCUGCUCACCUAGGUAUCCAGGCCAAAAAGAACUUGGGCAACAUCAAAAACAAGAAUUAAGUCUUCCCAUAAACUUGCCUGAUCAUGAAAACUGUGAUAAGAAAAUGAAGACAAAGUUGGGAUUUUCUGUUUUCUUUUUGUAUUUUCCCAUUGGGAAGCAAAGACAGAAAAUGACUGACACUGUUACAGGGAAUAACUCUUGAAAUACUGGAAUGGUAAUAAGUGCCUGAUGAGAAUAAAGACCUGAGGCAGAAUGAGGCUGUUCAGUGGGAAGGAUCAAAACAGCAGUGGCCAUUAACGCCGAACAAAUACAAAAGUUCAAGCUAAAGGAACCUGGAAACAGAGUAGUCAGACACCAUACGAGAAAGCAGACAUUGUGGUUCAACAUAUCCGCAAGAGGAAGAAAAAUGUUUAGCCUGAAAAUAUUGCUGAGAGUUGCGUGGACAAAGUAUCCCAGUGUUUGUUCUCUAAAGAAAAUGAAAGUUGAAGUACUUACAAUCACAUACAGCGACUACAAAUGAAAGAAGAACCGACAGUGUGUGACAAGAUUCUCUCCAGUGUUCUCCAUGGGCACAUUUAAUAUCCAGAAAAAGCUGACUGCUGCUUUUGCCACUCUGCUCUUAGACCGGUGGCCAGCUGGGUUCUGCUCGCUGGCAGAGCUGCAAUUUUACUCCAGCAUCACUGAUACUCAACUGUAUUUGAAAGGAGAUAGGUGACUCUGAGAAGAGAACUUUAGCUUUUUGAGACCGGUGGAUAAUUACUGGCUUUCAAAACAUUCUUCGCAAGAAGAUGUAUUGUUGACUGAAUUUUUUAACAAGUGGCACAGAAGAGCCCUGCCUUCCAGGAAAUCUACCUCUCGAAACAGCUGAGUAAGGAUCUCAGAUGAGCCAACAGAUUGACUCAUCGUAGAAAUGUUUUGCUUUUUUUUC